AACGAACGCUGGCGGCAUGCCUAACACAUGCAAGUCGAACGAGACCUUCGGGUCUAGUGGCGCACGGGUGCGUAACGCGUGGGAACCUGCCCUUAGGUUCGGAAUAACUCCCCGAAAGGGGUGCUAAUACCGGAUAAUGUCUUAGGACCAAAGAUUUAUCGCCUUUGGAUGGGCCCGCGUUGGAUUAGCUAGUUGGUAGGGUAAAAGCCUACCAAGGCGACGAUCCAUAGCUGGUCUGAGAGGAUGAUCAGCCACACUGGGACUGAGACACGGCCCAGACUCCUACGGGAGGCAGCAGUGGGGAAUAUUGGACAAUGGGCGAAAGCCUGAUCCAGCAAUGCCGCGUGAGUGAUGAAGGCCUUAGGGUUGUAAAGCUCUUGUACCCGGGAUGAUAAUGACAGUACCGGGAGAAUAAGCUCCGGCUAACUCCGUG
rnacentral:rRNA from 1 species